rnacentral:rRNA from 1 species
AGCAGCCGCGGUAAUUCCAGCUCCAAUAGCGUAUAUUAAAGUUGUUGCAGUUAAAAAGCUCGUAGUUGAAUUUCGGGGUUUAUCCGUUGGUCGGGCUUUUUGGUCUGUACUGGCGUGAUGGAUUCCUACCUUCUGAAUAACCGGCAUGUCAUUAAUUUGGUGCGCCGGGGAAGCAGGACUGUUACCUUGAAAAAAUUAGAGUGCUUAAAGCAGGCUUAUGCCUGAAUACAUUAGCAUAGAAUAAUGAAAUAGGACGGCAUGGUUCUAUUUUGUUGGUUUCUAGGAUCACCGUAAUGAUUAAUAGGGAUAGUUGGGGGCAUUAGUAUUCAAUUGUCAGAGGUGAAAUUCUUGGAUUUAUUGAAGACUAACUUCUGCGAAAGCAUUUGCCAAGGAUGUUUUCAUUAAUCAAGAACGAAAGUUAGGGGAUCGAAGACGAUCAGAUACCGUCGUAGUCUUAACCAUAAACUAUGCCGACUAGGGAUCGGACGAUGUUAAUUUUUUAAUGACUCGUUCGGCGCCU